rnacentral:rRNA from 1 species
AGUGAACGCUGGCGGCGUGCUUAACACAUGCAAGUCGAACGAGAACGGAUUAUAGCUUGCUAUAAUCGUCAGCUAAGUGGCGCACGGGUGAGUAAUGUAUAGGUAAUAUGCCUCUUACUAAGGGAUAACAAAUGGAAACGUUUGCUAAUACCUUAUACUCCUUAUUAACAGAAGUUAAUAAGGGAAAGAUUUAUUGGUAAGAGAUUAGCCUGUAUUGUAUCAGUUAGUUGGUGGGGUAAUGGCUUACCAAGACUAUGACACAUAACUGGUUUGAGAGGAUGAUCAGUCACUCUGGAACUGAGACACGGUCCAGACUCCUACGGGAGGCAGCAGUGGGGAAUAUUGCACAAUGGACGAAAGUCUGAUGCAGCAACGCCGCGUGGAGGAUGACACAUUUCGGUGCGUAAACUCCUUUUAUAUGAGAAGAUAAUGACGGUAUUAUAUGAAUAAGCACCGGCUAACUCCGUGCCAGCCGCCGCUGUAA